GACGAACCGUGCAAACGUUGUUCGGAAUCACUGGGCGUAAAGGGCUCGUAGGCGGCCAACUAAGUCAGACGUGAAAUCCCUCGGCUUAACCGGGGAACUGCGUCUGAUACUGGAUGGCUUGAGUUUGGGAGAGGGAUGCGGAAUUCCAGGUGUAGCGGUGAAAUGCGUAGAUAUCUGGAGGAACACCGGUGGCGAAGGCGGCAUCCUGGACCAACACUGACGCUGAGUGAGCGAAAGCCAGGGGAGCAAACGGG
rnacentral:rRNA from 1 species